rnacentral:rRNA from 1 species
GACGAAUGCUGGCGGCGUGUCUAACACAUGCAAGUCGAACGGGGUUAUUUCUUCGGAGAUAACUUAGUGGCGAACGGGUGAGUAACGCGUGAGAAACCUGCCUUUCAGUGGGGGACAACAGGUGGAAACGACUGCUAAUACCGAAUAAUGUCAUUUGGGGGCAUCCCUGAAUGACCAAAGCUUAAUGUGCUGAAAGAUGGUCUCGCGUCUGAUUAGCGAGUUGGUGAGGUACCGGCUCACCAAGGGGACGAUCAGUAGCCGGUCUGAGAGAAUGAACGGGCACAUUGGGGCUAAGAGACCGCCCAGACUCCUACGGGAGGCAGCAGUGGGGAAUAUUGGGCCAUGGGGGAAACCCUGACCCAGCAACGCCGCGUGAAGGAAGAAGGCCUUCGGGUUGUAAACUUCUUUUACCAGGGACGAAUCAAUGACGGUACCUGGAGAAGAAGCAACGGCUAACUACGUGCCAGCCGCCGCCGUAACAC